UGUUUGCAGAUAAUGCUGUUCUUCUUUUUCAGAAGUUUUUGGUGAGCCAACCCUCACACACCUUCCUAAAAACUAAAAGAGCUAUUACUGAGUCUCAGCGAAUCUUGCUAUGAUCAGCUCUUCCCAGAAGAGAAGGAAGACCAAGGAAAUGAUUUGCUCAGGAUGAGGAAUGAAGACAGCCAUCUUGUGCUCAAACAAACAGAAGUCCACUGGUAUAUCUCAUCAGCCAAAUGAGGGGUUUUGACCAAGUGAUGCUCUUGAAAGGAGUGAAAGAAGAGGAUGUGGUAAAUUGUCUUUAGAGAAAAAGCUUCUCAAAAGGUCUUAAAACAGCUUGAAG